rnacentral:rRNA from 1 species
GAUGAACGCUGGCGGCAGGCUUAGCACAUGCAAGUCGAACGCCCCGCGAGGGGAGUGGCAGACGGGUGAGUAACGCGUGGGAACGUACCUUUCAGUUCGGAAUAACUCAGGGAAACUUGUGCUAAUACCGGAUACGCUCGUAAGAGGAAAGAUUUAUCGCUGAAAGAUCGGCCCGCGUUGGAUUAGCUAGUUGGUGGGGUAAUGGCCUACCAAGGCGACGAUCCAUAGCUGGUCUGAGAGGAUGAUCAGCCACACAGGGACUGAGACACGGCCCAGACUCCUACGGGAGGCAGCAGUGGGGAAUAUUGGACAAUGGGCGAAAGCCUGAUCCAGCCAUGCCGCGUGAGUGAUGAAGGCCCUAGGGUUGUAAAGCUCUUUCACCGAUGAAGAUAAUGACGGUAGUCGGAGAAGAAGCCCCGGCUAACUUCGUGCCAGCAGCCGCCGUAACAC